UUUAAUCCUGGCUCAGGACGAAACGCUGGCGGGCGUGCCUAACACAUGCAAGUCGAGCGAUGAAAAAGAAGUAGAUCUCUUCGGAGUGACACCUCUUUGGAUUAGCGGCGGACGGGUGAGUAACACGUGAGCAACCUGCCGUACACAUUGGGAUAGCCUCGGGAAACUGGGAUUAAUACCAAACGAAACAUAUUGAUAGCAUUAUCAAAAUGUCAAAGAUUUAUCGGUGUACGAUGGGCUCGCGUCUGAUUAGCUAGUUGGUGAGAUAAAAGCUCACCAAGGCAAUGAUCAGUAGCCGGCCUGAGAGGGUGAUCGGCCACAUUGGGACUGAGACACGGCCCAAACUCCUACGGGAGGCAGCAGUGGGGAAUAUUGCACAAUGGAGGGAACUCUGAUGCAGCGACGCCGCGUGAGCGAAGAAGGAAUUCGUUUCGUAAAGCUCUGUCCUAUGGGAAGAUAAUGACGGUACCAUAGAAGAAAGCCCCGGCUAACUACGUGCCAGCAGCCGCGGUAAUACGUAGGGGGCGAGCGUUGUCCGGAAUUAUUGGGCGUAAAGGGUUCGUAGGCGGUAAUACAUGCCAGAUGUGAAAUCUUGUGGCUUAACCACAUCAAGCAUCUGAAACUGUAUAACUUGAGUGGAGGAGAGGUAAGUGGAAUUCCUAGUGUAGCGGUGAAAUGCGUAGAUAUUAGGAAGAAUACCAGUAGCGAAGGCGACUUACUGGCCUCUAACUGACGCUGAUGAACGAAAGCGUGGGUAGCAAACAGGAUUAGAUACCCUGGUAGUCCACGCCGUAAACGACGAGUGCUAGGUGUCGGGUGUCAAAGCUCGGUGCCGCAGCUAACGC
rnacentral:rRNA from 1 species